rnacentral:rRNA from 1 species
GACGUAGGGCGCAAGCGUUGUCCGGAUUUAUUGGGCGUAAAGAGCUCGUAGGCGGCUUGCCACGUCUGCCGUGAAAACCAGCAGCUUAACUGUUGGCUUGCGGUUGAUACGGGUUGGCUGGAGUUCGGUAGGGGAGACUGGAAUUCCUGGUGUAGCGGUGAAAUGCGCAGAUAUCAGGAAGAACACCAAUGGCGAAAGCAGCUUUCUGGGACGGUACUGACGCUGAGACGCGAAAGCGUGGGGAGCGAACAGG